rnacentral:rRNA from 1 species
GAGAGUUUGAUCCUGGCUCAGGAUGAACGCUGGCGGCGUGCUUAACACAUGCAAGUCGAACGGUGAAGCAGAGCUUGCUCUGUGGAUCAGUGGCGAACGGGUGAGUAACACGUGAGCAAUCUGCCCCUGACUCUGGGAUAAGCGCUGGAAACGGCGUCUAAUACCGGAUACGAGCUGCGACCGCAUGGUCAGUAGCUGGAAAGAAUUUCGGUCAGGGAUGAGCUCGCGGCCUAUCAGCUUGUUGGUGAGGUAAUGGCUCACCAAGGCGUCGACGGGUAGCCGGCCUGAGAGGGUGACCGGCCACACUGGGACUGAGACACGGCCCAGACUCCUACGGGAGGCAGCAGUGGGGAAUAUUGCACAAUGGGCGAAAGCCUGAUGCAGCAACGCCGCGUGAGGGAUGACGGCCUUCGGGUUGUAAACCUCUUUUAGCAGGGAAGAAGCGAAAGUGACGGUACCUGCAGAAAAAGCGCCGGCUAACUACGUGCCAGCAGCCGCGGUAAUACGUAGGGCGCAAGCGUUAUCCGGAAUUAUUGGGCGUAAAGAGCUCGUAGGCGGUCUGUCGCGUCUGCUGUGAAAACCCGAGGCUCAACCUCGGGCCUGCAGUGGGUACGGGCAGACUAGAGUGCGGUAGGGGAGAUUGGAAUUCCUGGUGUAGCGGUGGAAUGCGCAGAUAUCAGGAGGAACACCGAUGGCGAAGGCAGAUCUCUGGGCCGUAACUGACGCUGAGGAGCGAAAGGGUGGGGAGCAAACAGGCUUAGAUACCCUGGUAGUCCACCCCGUAAACGUUGGGAACUAGUUGUGGGGUCCAUUCCACGGAUUCCGUGACGCAGCUAACGCAUUAAGUUCCCCGCCUGGGGAGUACGGCCGCAAGGCUAAAACUCAAAGGAAUUGACGGGGACCCGCACAAGCGGCGGAGCAUGCGGAUUAAUUCGAUGCAACGCGAAGAACCUUACCAAGGCUUGACAUAUAGAGGAAACGUCUGGAAACAGUCGCCCCGCAAGGUCUCUAUACAGGUGGUGCAUGGUUGUCGUCAGCUCGUGUCGUGAGAUGUUGGGUUAAGUCCCGCAACGAGCGCAACCCUCGUUCUAUGUUGCCAGCACGUAAUGGUGGGAACUCAUGGGAUACUGCCGGGGUCAACUCGGAGGAAGGUGGGGAUGACGUCAAAUCAUCAUGCCCCUUAUGUCUUGGGCUUCACGCAUGCUACAAUGGCCGGUACAAAGGGCUGCAAUACCGUGAGGUGGAGCGAAUCCCAAAAAGCCGGUCCCAGUUCGGAUUGAGGUCUGCAACUCGACCUCAUGAAGUCGGAGUCGCUAGUAAUCGCAGAUCAGCAACGCUGCGGUGAAUACGUUCCCGGGUCUUGUACACACCGCCCGUCAAGUCAUGAAAGUCGGUAGCACCUGAAGCCGGUGGCCCAACCCUUGUGGAGGGAGCCGUCGAAGGUGGGAUCGGUAAUUAGGACUAAGUCGUAACAAGGUAGCCGUAG